GGGGGCAGCAGAAGGGCCUGGAAGGUCACACUUGCAUGGCGGGGGGGCAGGUUUGUGCCGAGCCCAAAGGAUGAGCCUGGCUCUGGGCUCUGACCAGCGGCAGUGAGGGGACAGGACAAAACACCUGCACGCAGCUGUCACUCUGCACCCCUGCUGCUCACGUUCCCCUGCCCUUCCCCACCCCCUUUGGAAACACCCUUUUCCAGCUUAGUAUCCGGCUCUUACCUCAGCGGAGGCUCAGGUUGACGCCAGAGCUGCUGUGGGGCCAGGCAGCGACGUUUCCCUGGCCGGCGGGUCACCAAGUUUCUGUUACCCUAGCAUGGUCCCUUGAGAAAACGACCUGAAGAGACUGGACCUGUUGCUCCUAUUUGCAGAUGCUCUAGAAAACCUGACUCACUGAAAGUGAAUACAGGAAAGCUUAGCGGGCUGGUGGAGCACCUGAGCCAGACCCACGUUCACAGCCCUGCCCCGUCAGGUGCUCGCAGGUGCUCCCGGCAGGUGCUCCCGGCAGGUGCUCGCGGCAGGUGCGCCCACGGGCCCCAAGAUCAGGCUGGGCCCAUUUUAAUGUAAUUCUUUACAAUUAGCACCGGGAUUGUCUGCAGAAAAGGGCAGCCAAGUGUUUUCAAAUAGUGUCUUCUCUGCAGGUUAAACAUUUACUUUCUGCUCUGCCAACACAGUUAAUUUGCAGAGCGAACCCCCUUUCCUCUGAACUUCUAACAACGCCACCCAGAUUCUCCAGGUGCCACACCGGCUCUGACGGAUGGAGACACCCAUCCCCUGGAGUGGGAGAUGAACUGCAUGGCCUGUCAGUGGCUCAUGGCACAGUACUGCGACCCUCAGGUAUAAAGCUGGAAACUAGGAAUUCUGAUGAGGAUCGCCUCAAUGCCUCAAAUAGAAUUUUGUUAUUAAAGAAUGUCAAUUUAGCAUUUAAAUUGUAAAAAACUGUACAUUUUCUACAUUGUUGCCAAUCUCUUUGAGCCAUGACCCCGGCCCCAAGUACAUACAGAAUAAAAUCAAAAUCCUUGCUGUGGCA
rnacentral:lncRNA from 12 species